AUGGGCUUUGAUGUCAAGCGUCUGCAACUGUGGGCCUGCUGAUGCCUUCCUACACUUCAAUAAAAAUAAGCUGAUGCCUCCUGUCCUUGCUAGCUUAGGUUAACUCAAUCAGAGGUGAGGGGUUCAAUCAUAUAUAAGUGUUCAUGAACUUCCAUAAUUCUCAAGGAUUGCACUCCAAAUAAUCAUAAGCCAGUAAGGUGUAGAAGUGGUCUUGAACUUCUGCAAUUCUGCUAUAUGUCACCAUUCUUUCAUGUUAUACAAACGCAUAGAUCUAUUGGUAAAAUGAUAGGUGUCGCUAACAUGCCAAUUAUUCAGUCCGGGAUUCCUUGUGUUAACUGAUUUUGCUCUCUUUGUUUGCUGAAUAAAUGUACAGCACCAUCUCUCAUCACCGUACUCUUGUUCCAGUGUGUAACUGAGAGGGGGAGGGGAUAUGAAAGAGAGGUUAUGCGUAGAAAGACGAAGGGGCAUGAGACAUGCAUGAUUUAUAUUCAGACUUGUAUCAUUGAAGUCCUUAUGUUUAUUUUUUUUAUGAAGAUUAAUUUCCUUAUAUGAUGGUGUUUUCAUGUCGUGAAAACCAAAGAGAAGUCCAUGACCAGGAUGUACCUUCAUAGAUUGAAAAGGAAAAUAACGUCUGCCAGUGGCGGCUAUCUGUUACUACCCAUAAUGUCCACAUAAUAAAGUGUGCCCGAUGUUUUUCGUUGUCA